GACAGAGGGUGCAAACGUUGUUCGGAAUUACUGGGCGUAAAGCGUGUGUAGGCGGCCUUGCAAGUCGGAUGUGAAAGCCCCGGGCUUAACCCGGGAAGUGCACUCGAAACUGCUUGGCUAGAGUAUCGGAGAGGUUGGUGGAAUUCUCGGUGUAGAGGUGAAAUUCGUAGAUAUCGAGAGGAAUACCGGUGGCGAAGGCGGCCAACUGGACGAGUACUGACGCUGAGACACGAAAGCGUGGGGAGCAAACAGG
rnacentral:rRNA from 1 species